rnacentral:rRNA from 1 species
GACCUUGGAUCCGGUAGGUAUACUCGCUCAAUUUAAGCAUAUAAAUGACUGAAAAGAAGAUACCCGCUGAACUUAAGCAUAUCA